rnacentral:lncRNA from 1 species
UCCUGAUGGGGUGUGCAUUUUUUUGGGCCCAUCCUGAUGGGGUGUGCAUUUUUUUGGGCUGAACCUGCCUCUCGGGUGUUUUUCCUGGGCCCCAGGAGAUCUUCGGGCCCAUCCUGGCCGUGUUCGUGUACCCCGAGCAGCGCUACCGCGAGGUGCUGGAGCUCAUCGACACCACCACCCCCUACGGCCUCACGGGGGCGAUCUUCGCCCGGGAGAAGGCUGCCAUCGAGGAGUCCCUGCGGGUGCUGCGCCACGCCGCCGGCAACAUCUACAUCAACGACAAAUCCACGGGGGCCGUGGUGGCCCAGCAGCCCUUCGGGGGCUCCCGCAUCUCAGGCACCAAUGACAAGCCCGGGGGUCCCCACUACCUGCUGCGCUGGACGUCCCCGCAGGCCAUCAAGGAGACACACGUGGCCCUGGGGGACUGGCAGUACCCCUGCAUGCAGUGACCCUGGGGGACUGGCAGUACCCCUGCAUGCAGUGACCCUGGGGACAGCUGCCACCGCAGCGCCGGCAGCGCUCGCACUACUGACCCCCCACCUGCCCCUCCUAGCUCCUGAAAAAAAAACAAACAAAAAAAGUUGUUAAAUGGUAAAAGCUCGGAGCUGCUCGUGGUGUCCUCGGCCGCCCCUGGGGACACGAUGGUGAGUGUGCCACUGCUUGGGUUGCAUGACCUUAAAGGGCUUUGCCAACCUCAGUGAUUCUGUGCAGGCAUGCUUCAUUAGGUCAGUCGUUAAUUAAGGGGUGGCUGCAGAGGCACAGCUGGACCCCGGCUCCCUUUUCCUCCCGGCUCUGCCACCCCCAGAGCGGAUCCCCCUCCCCAGGGCCGAGCAGGAGCUGAGAUCUGUCCCUGUCCCUGCACCCAGCCAUGUCCCUGCCUGUCCCAAAUCCCUGGGUGUGCAGGGCAGCCAGGCUGGUCCCACCCCUGGGCUGGGCUGUGUCCCCAGCCUGAGCCCCCUGGGCUGGGCUGUGUCCCCAACCUGAGCCCCCUGUCACCCCUGGGCUGGGCUGUGUCCCCAACCUGAGCCCCCUGUCACCCCUGGGCUGGGCUGUGUCUCCAGCCUGGCACCCCUGUCACCCCUGGGCUGGGCUGUGUCCCCAACCUGAGCCCCCUGUCACCCCUGGGCUGGGUUUUGUCCCCAACCUGAGCCCCCUGUCACCCCUGGGCUGGGCUGUGUCCCCAGCCUGGCACCCCUGGGCUGGGUUUUGUCCCCAGCCUGGCACCCCUGGGCUGGGUUUUGUCCCCAACUUGAGCCCCCUGUCACCCCUGGGCUGGGCUGUGUCCCCAGCCUGACACCCCUGUCACCCCUGGGCUGGGUUUUGUCCCCAACUUGAGCCCC